GAUGAAGAACGUAGCGAAUUGCGAUAAGUAAUGUGAAUUGCAGAAUUACGUGAAUCAUCGAAUAUUUGAACGCAUAUUGCACUCUCUGGUAUUCCGGGGAGUAUGCCUGUUUGAGGGUCAGUAAAUAAUAAUUAUCAUAAUCUUUUGAUUGUGGAAUUGGGCCUUUAUUUCAUUUUAAUGAUUUAUGGUCUUAAAUUUAUGUUACCGCUUGUUUUAAUAUGAAAUUCGACCAAAUGGAGCAAUUAAACAUUCUCUCGUUAGGCGGAUUCAUCAAGCAAUUACGAUUUUUUGGCCGUCGAAGCACUUUUUUUUUUAGAAGUGCUUGGUCAAGAUUGUAAGAUACAUUUUUUAACAAUGACCUCAAAUCAGGCAAGAAUACCCGCUGAACUUAAGCAUAUCAAUAAGCGGAGGA
rnacentral:misc_RNA from 1 species